GUUAUUUUGGCAGAAUAGUGCAAUAAAUUUAGAAUUUAUUUAAGUAGAUUAAUUUACAAAUAAUA
rnacentral:tRNA from 1 species